rnacentral:rRNA from 1 species
UGGCGGACGGGUGAGUAACGCGUGAGAAUCUGCCUUCAGGAUGGGGACAACAGUUGGAAACGACUGCUAAUACCCAAUGUGCCGCAAGGUGAAACUUAUUUGGCCUGAAGAGGAGCUCGCGUCCGAUUAGCUAGUUGGGGUGGUAAAAGCGCACCAAGGCAACGAUCGGUAGCUGGUCUGAGAGGAUGAGCAGCCACACUGGGACUGAGACACGGCCCAGACUCCUACGGGAGGCAGCAGUGGGGAAUUUUCCGCAAUGGGCGAAAGCCUGACGGAGCAAUACCGCGUGAGGGAGGAAGGCUUUUGGGUUGUAAACCUCUUUUCUCAAGGAAGAAUAACUGACGGUACUUGAGGAAUAAGCAUCGGCUAACUCCGUGCCAGCAGCCGCGGUAAU